rnacentral:rRNA from 1 species
GAUGAACGCUGGCGGCGUGCCUAACACAUGCAAGUCGAACGAAGCACCUUACCUGAUUCUUCGGAUGAAAGUUUGGUGACUGAGUGGCGGACGGGUGAGUAGCGCGUGGGUAACCUGCCCUGUACAGGGGGAUAACAGCUGGAAACGGCUGCUAAUACCGCAUAAGCGCACGAGGAGACAUCUCCUUGUGUGAAAAACUCCGGUGGUACAGGAUGGGCCCGCGUCUGAUUAGCUGGUUGGCAGGGUAACGGCCUACCAAGGCAACGAUCAGUAGCCGGUCUGAGAGGAUGAACGGCCACAUUGGAACUGAGACACGGUCCAAACUCCUACGGGAGGCAGCAGUGGGGAAUAUUGCACAAUGGGGGAAACCCUGAUGCAGCAACGCCGCGUGAGUGAAGAAGUAUUUCGGUAUGUAAAGCUCUAUCAGCAGGGAAGAUAAUGACGGUACCUGACUAAGAAGCUCCGGCUAAAUACGUG